AAGAUACGGUCAACGGGUCAAAAUACGGGUAAAAAAUUCUCGAAAAUGGGUCGCGCCUGACAGGUAGGCGCGAAUGGCCUGUUCCCCGCGCACAUAGACCCCCCCCCCCGGCGGCGUGCCAUCUGUUGCUGCUGCUGCAUGCCUCCCUGCUCAUGGCACCCUUGCUGGCUGCUGCUUGCAGCUGGCUGCUGUAUAUGUGCUGUCCCUUCAAAGGGAAAAUGAAGAUUGCAAAUUGGGGACCUUAUAAGCAUGGUCCCCCAAACCAAACACCUGCCACUGGAAGAGAGAAAGAAAGAAAGAAAGGAGAAGAAAAAAAAGAAGAGAAGAAGAAGAAGAAGAAAGAAAGAAGAAAAAAAAGUUGUUUGUUUGAAAGAAACUAAUUAGGUAAAUUAUGGGAAAUUAUUAAAUAUUUACCGUGUUUUAUUUCUAAAAUUUGAAAUAAUUUAUUGUAUUUUU